rnacentral:misc_RNA from 1 species
UACGUAGGUGUCAAGCGUUAUCCGGAAUUACUGGGCGUAAAGGGCACGCAGGCGGUUUAGGAAGUUCAGCGUGAAAGCUCCCGGCUUAACUGGGAGAGGUCGUUGAAGACUCUUAGACUUGAGACAGUGAGAGGGAGGCGGAAUUCCCGGUGUAGUGGUGGAAUGCGUAGAGAUCGGGAAGAACACCAGUGGCGAAAGCGGCCUUCUGGCACUGUUCUGACGCUGAGGUGCGAAAGCGUGGGUAGCGAACGGG